rfam:Medicago truncatula strain A17 chromosome 3, whole genome shotgun sequence.
AAUUAGCCCAUUAAGUUUACCCCUUUUUACACUUUUGGCCCCCCAGACCAAUUUUGACUGGGUCAAUGCAUACAUGGCACCCAUAUCAUUUUAAUUAUUAGGCUUAAUUGCAGUUUUGACCCCCUAAGAAAAAAGAAAGUUACACGUGGCACGUCACUUUAAGUGAUGUGGGUGCCACGCAUGCAUUGAUUUAAUCAAAAUUGGUAUGGGGGGCUAGAAGUGCAAAAUGGGGUAAACUUAGGAGGUUGAUU